ACUGCUAAUGAGCGGCACCAGGCGGUAGCGUGGGUAUGCGCUGGGGUAUAUAAGAUAUCAUUAGAUGACGCGAGUGACAAGGAUACUUUGGUGCACAGUACAAGAGGACAUGCUAUAACCAGAUCGAAAUACCAUCAGCCACUCACCACCGAAAAAAGGGGAAUGAACUCUCUACCGUACGUAACAGUUUCCAUGCUUCUCCUGCUCAGCCACUGCGACCUUGGUCAUGCCCAGUGGGCACAGACGUUUGGAUGGGGAGGCGCAGGUAACGGUAAAAGGAGUGGAAUUACUGACCCGACUACAUGCAAUAUGGACUUACAAUUAGUGAAACUCAUGUCGACGUUAAUACAG